rnacentral:rRNA from 1 species
AUUGAACGCUGGCGGCAGGCCUAACACAUGCAAGUCGAACGAGUGGCGGACGGGUGAGUAUUGUCUGGGAAACUGCCUGAUGUAGGGGGAUAACUACCGGAAACGGUAGCUAAUCCCGCAUACCUUCAGCUGUGCCCAGAUGGGAUUAGCUUGUUGGUGGGGUAACGGCUCACCAAGGCGACGAUCCCUAGCUGGUCUGAGAGGAUGACGGGGCACACUGGAACUUAGGCACGGUCCAGCGUCCGAAGUGAGGGAGGAGUGGGGAAGAUUGCGCAAUGGGCGAAAGCCUGAUGAAGCGAAGCCGCGGGUAUGAAGAAGGCUUGCAGGUAGGAAAGAACGGUCAGGGGGGAGGCGUUACCCGCAGAAGAAGCACCGGAUAACUCCGUGCCAGCAGCCGCGGUAAUAC